UCUCCCUCCAAUUUAUUUCGCGGCAAAAUAUUCCCUCUACCGCCGCAUAAUAGAGCAAACCUCUCUCCCUCAUCAUCACCAAGUAAUCUUAGUUUUCCUGCCGAAAUUCGUCGUUAAUUAUUGAUAUUUCUCAGAUCUAGUGUUGUUUCUGUGUCGAAUUGAUGAAAAUUUCACCAAUGCCUAAAAAUUCUGGGUCACUGGUGCGCAUAUCUGCUUGAAUUUUUAUAUUAUCGAUCUAUAAGAAACAGUGGAUAGGCGAUGUGGGUGUGGCUUUUCGAAUUAUUCUUCGGUACCAAGCAAAAUUUAUCUUCUUUUAUAGAGGAAUAACAGUAAUCGCAAGUUUGUCUGCUGCUCCAAUUUGGAGCUUGAAAUAUUUAAUGCAGAAAUCUGGAUCAAUCUGGUUAAACUUCAAUGAUAAAUGGGAGACACGAAUAUAUACCAAACUAAAGGAGGUGAAGCACCAUAUACGAUCUUCUGGACUAAUUCCAUAUGGAAGCGCCCAGUUAAAGUGGUAGAGGAGCCGAGCCAAAGGAUGUUUAACAUUAGCUGAACCAAAUUACAUUCUUGGACAAAUUCUUUUUCCUGCAUCAAAUGGAAUAAGCUGAAAGUGAUUUCCAAUAAAGUCAACAGAAGAAUUUUCAAAUCUCUCUUGUAUAAAACUCUCAGGGUCAUGCCAACUUUCUGGAUCUCUUCCGAGUGCCCACGAAUUGAUUAGUACUCUGGUCCUGGGAGGUACUUUAUAUCCAUUAAUAUUGUAGACAAUAAAUUUGCGUCGAGAAAAUAAAAUCAAGAUUGAAAAAUAUCGUAACAAUCGUAGUAUUUUAUUUUGAAUA